CCUAAUUCCAUGGUUUUAAAUAUCUUUUCCCUAGGGCCUAGGCUCGAUAUCCAGUUGCUCACUGAACGUUGCCAUAUGGGUUCCAAAAGGCACCUCAAACUUAAUUUGUCUAAAACAAAACUCCUGUUUUUGGCAUCCCGUCUCCUGCCCGGCUUUCUCUCCCUCUGGCCUUUCCUCUUGCAGGGAAUGAAUCUCUGUUCUUCCUGGAUCCUCUUCCUUGGUAUUUCCCUCUCCUUUGCCAGCACUCCUUUCCCCAAACUAUAUCUAAUCCAGCAGCAAUAGCCUGCAUCCAAUGAUGCCUCACCCUUCUACUGAUGCAUAUGUAAUGCAAGGUGACGCGGGGACAACUUCUACUAGCUUGCUAACUAGUGUUCCCAGGGCACUCUGUUCUUCUGUUCAUUCUCCACAAAGAAACCACACUGGUCUUUCAAAAAUGUGAUUCAGUCAUUAUCUCUCAUGAACUUGGAGGCAAAGAUGUUCAACAAAAUCUUAGCAAGCUGAAUCUAGUAAUGUAUAAAAAGUUAUACACUGUGACCAUAUGGGGUUUAUUUCAGGGAUGAAAAGCUGGCUCAAUAUUAAUGAAAAUCAUAGAACAUUAUCUAUCAUGACAAGAAAACUCACUCAGUCAUAUCAAGAAAAAAAAUUGGCAAAAUUCAAUAUCCAUUCAUGAAAACUCUCAGAAAAAUAGGAAUAGAAAGAAACUAAUUAACAUGAUAAAGAGAACUUACAAAAAAAUCUGUACAUUACGGUAUACUAAAUGGUGAAAAGUGAAAUGCUUUUCCUGUAAGAGUAGGAUAGAAAUCAAGGAUGCCCACUCUCACCUCUCUUAUCCAACCUAGGACAGAAG
rnacentral:lncRNA from 1 species